AGAUACUUUGUGAACUGCUAGAGCCAUUUAGAAUUAUUCUCAGCUGUAACCCACCUAAACAUAGACAGGUUAGUUAGCCUAGCCUAUAACCCAACUAAACAUAGACUGGUUAGUUAGCCUAGCCUAUAACCCACCUAAACAUAGACAGGUUAGUUAGCCUAGCCUAUAAACCCCCUAAACAUAGACAGGUUAGUUAGCCUAGCCUAUAACCCACCUAAACAUAGACAGGUUAGUUAGCCUAGCCUAUAACCCACCUAAACAUAGACAGGUUAGUUAGCCUAGCCUUUAACCCACCUAAACAUAGACAGGUUAGUUAGCCUAGCCUAUAACCCACCUAAACA